rnacentral:misc_RNA from 1 species
GAUGAAGAACGCAGUGAAAUGCGAUAAGUAAUGUGAAUUGCAGAAUUCAGUGAAUCAUCGAAUCUUUGAACGCACAUUGCGCCCCCUGGUAUUCCGGGGGGCAUGCCUGUUCGAGCGUCAUUUCACCACUCAAGCCUCGCUUGGUAUUGGGCAACGCGGUCCGCCGCGUGCCUCAAAUCGACCGGCUGGGUCUUCUGUCCCCUAAGCGUUGUGGAAACUUUCGCUAAAGGGUGUUCGGGAGGCUACGCUGUAAACCAACCCCAUUUCUAAGGUUGACCUCGGAUCAGGUAGGGAUACCCGCUGAACUUAAGCAUAUCAAUAAGCGGAGGA